AGAGUUUGGUCCGGUCUACCAUUUACUUUAAUAGUCUUAGUGGGAGCAUAUGGACCAUAUUCUAUAACUUCCCAAAUAUUGUAAUCAAUAGAUUGAACAUAUAUCAUCAUUAUAACCUUCCAAUAGUUAUAAUGUGUACCGUUAAAGAAAGGAGGCUGGUUUGUAGAGUACCCCUCACUAUUUUGAAAAACUUGAUUAGCCAUUACUCAAGAUUGUAGAAUCUAAAAAAAAAGAGUACCAAACUCUGAUACCAACUAAAAGCCCAAGAACAACUAACCAAGAGGGGGUGAAUUGGUUAUUUGAUACUUUUUCGAAAAUUAACGCAAAUUUAAGCAAAUAACUAUGAAUAAACAAGAUAAUAUAAAAGUAAUGUGAGGAAUGGAAAAGAGAGUGCAAACGAUGUAAUAAGGAGGUUCGAUCCAAUUACGAUUUACGUCCCCUGUUACCAAGCUCUUCGUCACGAGCAAGACAUUUUCUACUAUAUUUGAUUGACUUAUGGUGCAAUCCAACUUUUACAAAGCUUUCGAUGACUUACAAUCAAGGAGCACCGAUCUUUUUACACCAUUGAGAUUUUCGGGACCUCAACACGACCCACAAUCCAAAAAAUAAGAGAAUUGAAAUUACAAGUGAAAAACUUCUCUCUUAAUAAAUGAUAUAGAUUUAGUUUGAAUAUAAGAGAGGAGUAGGUCAACACUUUAAUUGAUAACAAAAAAGGUAGCUCAAGUGUUUUGAUUGAAAAACUUUAGUUGAGAUAAAUGAUUUUUCAACUUUUGAUCACUCAAAAAGUUUUUCAAUAAAUGAAUGAUUUGAUCUUUAAAAGAGUGAAAAAUAAGGUUGAAAGAAUCAAUAAAAUACUUCACUUAAUGUUCAUGAACAGUUAAAUUGAAUAGUGAAGAGAAAGUAGUAUUUAUAGCUCUCAAAGAUCUUUCUAACGGUCAAGAGUCUGUCCCACCGGACAAGCGUACUGGACCGUUCGGUACGUACCGGACAAGGCUACUAGCCGUUGGUAAGAUAGGUGUCAGAACGUUAAAAAUUUUGAGCGUUGGGCAAAGACUUUUACCGGAUCGUCCGGUAGCUAAAAAAAAAUAGAUUUUGACUUGAAUGAUUUUAUUUUGAGCUCCCGAGACUUCUUUGCUAAAUAUUAAAAUGUUACACCUUUACAUAUAAAUUAAAGAGUUCUAAUAUAGUUUUCUUCAAUAUGCUCAAUCAUCAAAGUUUAUGACUUCGAUCUUGAUUCUUCUUGAUAUUGACAUUCGUUUCGUUCUUUAUGAGUGCAUU
rnacentral:sRNA from 1 species